rnacentral:rRNA from 1 species
CAGUAGCCGCGGUAAAACGGAGGGUGCAAGCGUUAAUCGGAAUUACUGGGCGUAAAGCGUGCGUAGGCGGUUCGUUAAGUCUGUUGUGAAAGCCCCGGGCUCAACCUGGGAAUGGCAAUGGAUACUGGCGAGCUAGAGUGUGUCAGAGGAUGGUGGAAUUCCCGGUGUAGCGGUGAAAUGCGUAGAGAUCGGGAGGAACAUCAGUGGCGAAGGCGGCCAUCUGGGACAACACUGACGCUGAGGCACGAAAGCGUGGGGAGCAAACAGGAUUAGAGACCCCUGUAGUCCCUGUCUCUUAUAC